CGGUUCUAGCCUGAUCAACAGGUUGCCAUGGUAACGACUUGUCAAUCAUAGAUAACCCCGCCCUGAAGCAUACUCUGCUUUAUGGUCUAUUUCAAAAUAAAUGGGACCAUUAUUUAUUAAAUAAUAGGACUGUAACGGUUCUGAAACCAAGACCGAAAUCGCGACUCAGAAGUCCACGGUCUCGUGUUGCAUAAUCUGAGAGACAGAACCGCGACACAACCGCUCAUUGGACUGUUGAGCUCUCAAGACAGUGCAACUGUAGGGGUAGGGGGGUCGGCUCGGUAGCGGUGUAUAUCGUAUUUGUAUUGAAAGUUGUAUGUUAUUAGUUUCCAGUAGAGUCAGAGGUCGUCUACUCUUCACUGAGGUAGACCUUCACACCUUCACACCUUCACACCAGUCCAACCACUGAUGUCCAGCUGGCCUGGAACUGGUCCCCAGAGCCUCUCACACCUCAGCACAUCCAUUUAUUAUGUUUCACUGUUAAAGAAAAAUUAGACUCAGGCAGCUACAAAGAGACAAAAAGCUAAGAUUUAAUUAAUGUUUUUAAACAUUUGUAGUUUUCAGUGAAAUAUCGGUCACAUGAAAAAACUAAAACUAAAGAAUAAACAAAUUGUUAAAAUGCUUUUUUUAACUUGUGUCUGUAUGAUGCAUAUAACAUGACAUGGUACCUGUUUCAUUGCACUUUCAUUCAUAUAUUUCUACUGAACAGGAUCUAAUAAUAACAUCGUUUUGUGGGUAAUAUAAUAACUAACUGUACUUUUAUUUAUAUUUUAUUCAUGUUUUUUGUUUCUUGUUGCCGCAGCAAUUGUUUCUUUGCAAAAUCAAUCAACUUUGGUCUCUUCUUGUUUUUCUCCUGUGGUUCUGUGGGUUUCACAAAGCUGUCGGAUGCAAAGUGCAACUCAUUUUGGUUUGACUGUGGCUAACUGAUAUACACCUCCAAUUCAAACCUCUCAUCAGUGCAGCUCUGUGUUUGAAUAGUUUUAAUAAUUUAUUUUUAAUCAGUUUAAAGCAGAAAAAGAGAAAAAGUUAGGAAUAACAAAAAGAGAGACAUCAAAAAGUCACAGUCGUGAGACAAAAUUAUGCUUUUUUAAUUUUUUUAUUAUAUUAUUAAGUAUUAUUAAAUUAUUAAGUCAGUAUGUCACAUUUAUGAGUCACUGAGUGAAAAGUUAACUUAUUUCAUAAAUCUAAGAUAUUUUUAAAUUUAGGAUUAAAGUAUCAAGUUAUUGAGAUACCUUUUCUUUAAAAUGAAGCUGCUGCGGUUUCACUUUGUGACACACACCCACACCUGAUGGGACAAAUGUGUGAGAAAUAAAGUCAGCACAUUAGACAUAUUGUCACGACGCCUGCAUCUGUCUAGUGAUGGCGAUUAAGUAAGAGUGUUUAUUUUUACCUUUGAGUGAAUGUGUUGUGCUUUGUGCAUUUUCUGUUGGUUUGUGUUCUCUCUCUUCCUUCCUUAGUGGAGUCUGUUGGCGGGUCUGGAUCCUGAUCAUCUAUCAGGACGAUUUAUUGCUGUACUGUUUUGUUAUGUUUUGUGAGGUGGCCUUGAAUGUUCAGAAAGGCGCCUAUAAAUAAAAUGUAUUAUUAUUGGAA